rnacentral:tRNA from 1 species
GAUCUUAUAUUCAAUUAUGAUUUUAGAUUGCAAUUCUAAUGGUGUGAAUUAUCACUAAGGUCU